AACGAACGCUGGCGGCAGGCUUAACACAUGCAAGUCGAACGCCCCGCAAGGGGAGUGGCCGACGGGUGAGUAACGCGUGGGAACAUACCCUUUUCUACGGAAUAGCUCUGGGAAACUGGAAUUAAUACCGUAUACGCCCUACGGGGGAAAGAUUUAUCGGGGAAGGAUUGGCCCGCGUUGGAUUAGCGAGUUGGUGGGGUAAAGGCCUACCAAGGCGACGAUCCAUAGCUGGUCUGAGAGGAUGAUCAGCCACAUUGGGACUGAGACACGGCCCAAACUCCUACGGGAGGCAGCAGUGGGGAAUAUUGGACAAUGGGCGCAAGCCUGAUCCAGCCAUGCCGCGUGAGUGAUGAAGGCCUUAGGGUUGUAAAGCUCUUUCACCGAUGAAGAUAAUGACGGUAGUCGGAGAAGAAGCCCCGGCUAACUUCGUG
rnacentral:rRNA from 1 species